AAACCAACAGGGAUUGCCUCAGUAACGGCGAGUGAAGCGGCAAAAGCUCAAAUUUGAAAUCCUUCGGGAGUUGUAAUUUGUAGGUUGGGAGACCCCGCGGCUAGUGGCACCAAGUCCCUUGGAACAGGGCGCCUUAGAGGGUGAGAGCCCCGUAGGUACCACAAUACCGUCUUGUGUCUCCUCUCCAAAGAGUCGAGUUGUUUGGGAAUGCAGCUCAAAGUGGGUGGUAAAUUCCAUCUAAAGCUAAAUACCGGCGAGAGACCGAUAGCGAACAAGUACAGUGAUGGAAAGAUGAAAAGCACUUUGAAAAGAGAGUGAAACAGUACGUGAAAUUGUUGAAAGGGAAGGGCUUGCAAGCAGACACGGCCUUCGUGCCGGGCCAGCAUCGGUUGCUAGGGGUGGAUAAGGAACAAGGAAUGUAGCUCCUCGGAGUAUUAUAGCCUUGCGCGAUACACCCACUGGCGACCGAGGCCUGCGGUAUUCUUUACCUAGGAUGCUGGCGUAAUGGUUGCAAGCCGCCC
rnacentral:rRNA from 1 species